ACUUUUAAAGGAUAGAAGCUAUCCGCUGGUCUUAGGAACCAGAAAAU
rnacentral:tRNA from 1 species